rnacentral:rRNA from 1 species
AAGGAUCAUUACCACACCUAAAAAACUUUCCACGUGAACCGUAACAAACCAAUAGUUGGGGGCGAGUUUGGCGGCGGCUGCUGGCUUUGGCUGGCUGGCUGCUGCUGGACGAGCUCUAUCAUGGCGAGCGUUUGGACUUCGGUCUGAACUAGUAGCCCUUCUUUUAAACCCAUUCCUAAUUACUGAUUAUACUGUGGGGACGAAAGUCUCUGCUUUUAACUAGAUAGCAACUUUCAGCAGUGGAUGUCUAGGCUCGCACAUCGAUGAAGAACGCUGCGAACUGCGAUACGUAAUGCGAAUUGCAGGAUUCAGUGAGUCAUCGAAAUUUUGAACGCAUAUUGCACUUCCGGGUUAGUCCUGGGAGUAUGCCUGUAUCAGUGUCCGUACAACAAACUUGGCUUUCUUCCUUCCGUGUAGUCGGUGGAGGAGAUGCCAGAUGUGAAGUGUCUUGCGGCUGGUUCUCGAACUGGCUGCGAGUCCUUUGAAAUGUACUGAACUGUACUCCUCUUUGCUCGAAAAGCAUGGCGUUGCUGGUUGUGGAGGCUGCCUGUGUGGCAUGUCGGCGACCGGUCUGUCUGCUGCGGCGUUAAUGGAGGCGUGUUCGAUUCGCGGUAUGGUUGGCUUCGGCUGAACAAUGCGCUUAUUGGAUGUGUUUCCUGCUGUGGCGGUAAUGGCUGGUGUACCGUAGCUAUGUGGUGCUUGGCUUUUGAAUCGGCUUUGCUGUUGUGAAGUAGAGUGGCGGCUUCGGCUGUCGAGGGUCGAUCCAUUUGGGAAAUUUGUGUGUGCCUUUAUUGGCGUGCAUCUCAAUUGGACCUGAUAUCAGGCAAGAUUACCCGCUGAACUUAA